rnacentral:rRNA from 1 species
AUGAACGCUGGCGGCGUGCCUAAUACAUGCAAGUCGAGCGAACAGACGAGGAGCUUGCUCCUCUGACGUUAGCGGCGGACGGGUGAGUAACACGUGGAUAACCUACCUAUAAGACUGGGAUAACUUCGGGAAACCGGAGCUAAUACCGGAUAAUAUAUUGAACCGCAUGGUUCAAUAGCGAAAGACGGUUUUGCUGUCACUUAUAGAUGGAUCCGCGCCGCAUUAGCUAGUUGGUAGGGUAACGGCUUACCAAGGCAACGAUGCGUAGCCGACCUGAGAGGGUGAUCGGCCACACUGGAACUGAGACACGGUCCAGACUCCUACGGGAGGCAGCAGUAGGGAAUCUUCCGCAAUGGGCGAAAGCCUGACGGAGCAACGCCGCGUGAGUGAUGAAGGUCUUCGGAUCGUAAAACUCUGUUAUUAGGGAAGAACAAAUGUGUAAGUAACUAUGCACGUCUUGACGGUACCUAAUCAGAAAGCCACGGCUAACUACGUG